GCCCCGCUCCUCCCUGCGCGCCCGGGGCCCACGGGGCUGGCCGCCCGGCCUGCUCUGCUGCCCCCGCCCCCCGUGCCCGCACUGACACCGCCCGUCACCUCCACUUAGACAGGACAGCCCUGCGCGCCCGGGGGCCCCGCGCCCAAAGGAAAUUGUUUCAAGAUCAAGGUUGAUUGAUAUCUGGACUUUAGAUAUUUCUACAAAGUGAAGACCAGAGUUGGGUAGUAGAGGAAUGCAAGGCCUCUAAGGAAUACACUUUGCACUUGAGAAGAGGUUGCAGGAGAAGCCUAAAUCCUCUACUGCUCUACUUCCACUUUGCUGUUUUGGGGCCCUGCCUGUGCUUGAUGACUGCAAGUUCAAGAAACAAUUCCAGGGAGAAGAGCACACCUGGGGCAUCUGUUGCAUCUGGCUGGUAUUCUUUGAUAAGUCCUGGGACAGUCUGCUCUCCUUCCACUCCCUAGGUGGCUAUAGAGGGCAUCCCCCACCACAUCAGCAUCUCUAUGGAUUCAUUACUUAGCAGGAAAUGCAUGAUUUAAACGGUGCUAUACUCAGAACCAUGAUGCUGUCAUCAUGUUGCCUUCAUUGCAAACACUGCUGUGAUGUUCUGAGGAGGUGGGGAGAUGUGGCCUGGAAGGGUGGGAUGACUGUCGCACUGCUGCUGAUAAGAUGUGAAUGAAGACCACAUUACAACUCAGCUCUGCUCUGGAGAAAUUCACAAAGUCUCAGCUAGGGGCGCCUGGGUGGCUCAGUUGGUUAAGGGUUUGCCUUCAGCUCAGAUCAUGAACCCAGGGUACUGGGAUGGAGUCCUGCAUUGGUACUCUCUGCUCCAUGGGAAUUCUGCUUCUUUCUCUCCC